UACGUAGGGGGCAAGCGUUGUCCGGAUUUAUUGGGCGUAAAGAGCGUGUAGGCGGCUUGGUAGGUCCGCUGUGAAAACUCGAGGCUCAACCUCGAGAUGUCGGCGGAAACCACUUGGCUAGAGUCCGGAAGAGGAGAGUGGAAUUCCCGGUGUAGCGGUGAAAUGACGCAGAUAUCAGGAGGAACACCAAUUGCGAAGGCAGCUCGCUGGGACGUUACUGACGACUGGAGACGCGAAAGCGUGGGGAGCAAACAGG
rnacentral:rRNA from 1 species